GGAUAACAGUUGGAAACGACUGCUAAUACCGCAUAAGCGCACAGGAUCGCAUGAUCCGGUGUGAAAAACUCCGGUGGUAUGAGAUGGAUCCGCGUCUGAUUAGCCAGUUGGCAGGGUAACGGCCUACCAAAGCGACGAUCAGUAGCCGACCUGAGAGGGUGACCGGCCACAUUGGGACUGAGACACGGCCCAAACUCCUACGGGAGGCAGCAGCGGGGAAUAUUGCACAAUGGGGGAAACCCUGAUGCAGCGACGCCGCGUGAGCGAAGAAGUAUUUCGGUAUGUAAAGCUCUAUCAGCAAGGAAGAAGAAUGACGGUACCUGACUAAGAAGCACCGGCUAAAUACGUGCCAGCAGCCGCGGUAAUACGUAUGGUGCAAGCGUUAUCCGGAUUUACUGGGUGUAAAGGGAGCGCAGGCGGUGCGGCAAGUCUGAUGUGAAAGCCCGGGGCUCAACCCCGGUACUGCAUUGGAAACUGUCGUACUAGAGUGUCGGAGGGGUAAGUGGAAUUCCUAGUGUAGCGGUGAAAUGCGUAGAUAUUAGGAGGAACACCAGUGGCGAAGGCGGCUUACUGGACGAUAACUGACGCUGAGGCUCGAAAGCGUGGGGAGCAAACAGGAUUAGAUACCCUGGUAGUCCACGUCGUAAACGAUGAAUACUAGGUGUCGGGGAGCAUUGCUCUUCGGUGCCGCAG
rnacentral:rRNA from 1 species